AGAUGAUCUCCUUACAUGUGGAUGGCUGAAUCUAGCAUAUGAGUUUAGUUAUUUCUGUGGGUCGAUGACAGUCCAGCUCCAUAACAGCUGUGACACUCAGAGUCAUUGAACAAAAUUCUUAAAGUCCACGAAUCUUGAGAUAAGGAGCCUAGAUGGAGACGUGGAGCAACGUGACUGCUGCUCAUCGUCUUUGAAACAAUUACCAAGCUGCAUGGCCGUCAGAAUCUUUCACAGAUAGAGAAAGCCUGCCCAGAGUCACAUAGUAUCUGGAUGGAGAGAGAGAAGAAAAGGGCCCCUCACAGCACUGGUUUCUGCAUAUUAUACCAGGAACUCUUAACACUGUGGUGAAAUGAGCUGGAAUAUCAGUCAAGAACCUUGGGAUGGAUGAUGAGAAGAUGUUAUUUCCCUGCUCCCUACCACAUAGCCCGUGUCAAUUGCUAUAAC
rnacentral:lncRNA from 1 species